rnacentral:rRNA from 1 species
UAGGACGAACGCUGGCGGCGUGCCUAAUACAUGCAAGUAGAACGCUGAAGAGAGGAGCUUGCUCUUCUUGGAUGAGUUGCGAACGGGUGAGUAACGCGUAGGUAACCUGCCUUGUAGCGGGGGAUAACUAUUGGAAACGAUAGCUAAUACCGCAUAACAAUGGAUGACACAUGUCAUUUAUUUGAAAGGGGCAAUUGCUCCACUACAAGAUGGACCUGCGUUGUAUUAGCUAGUAGGUGAGGUAAUGGCUCACCUAGGCGACGAUACAUAGCCGACCUGAGAGGGUGAUCGGCCACACUGGGACUGAGACACGGCCCAGACUCCUACGGGAGGCAGCAGUAGGGAAUCUUCGGCAAUGGGGGCAACCCUGACCGAGCAACGCCGCGUGAGUGAAGAAGGUUUUCGGAUCGUAAAGCUCUGUUGUAAGUCAAGAACGGGUGUGAGAGUGGAAAGUUCACACUGUGACGGUAGCUUACCAGAAAGGGACGGCUAACUACGUGCCAGCAGCCGCGGUAAUACGUAGGUCCCGAGCGUUGUCCGGAUUUAUUGGGCGUAAAGCGAGCGCAGGCGGUUUGAUAAGUCUGAAGUUAAAGGCUGUGGCUCAACCAUAGUUCGCUUUGGAAACUGUCAAACUUGAGUGCAGAAGGGGAGAGUGGAUUCCAUGUGUAGCGGUGAAAUGCGUAGAUAUAUGGAGGAACACCGGUGGCGAAAGCGGCUCUCUGGGUCUGUAACUGACGCUGAGGCUCGAAAGCGUGGGGAGCGAACAGGAUUAGAUACCCUGGUAGUCCACGGCCGUAAACGAUGAGUGCUAGGUGUUGGAUCCUUUCCGGGAUUCAGUGCCGCAGCUAACGCAUUAAGCACUCCGCCUGGGGAGUACGACCGCAAGGUUGAAACUCAAAGGAAUUGACGGGGGCCCGCACAAGCGGUGGAGCAUGUGGUUUAAUUCGAAGCAACGCGAAGAACCUUACCAGGUCUUGACAUCCCGAUGCUAUUUCUAGAGAUAGAAAGUUACUUCGGUACAUCGGUGACAGGUGGUGCAUGGUUGUCGUCAGCUCGUGUCGUGAGAUGUUGGGUUAAGUCCCGCAACGAGCGCAACCCCUAUUGUUAGUUGCCAUCAUUCAGUUGGGCACUCUAGCGAGACUGCCGGUAAUAAACCGGAGGAAGGUGGGGAUGACGUCAAAUCAUCAUGCCCCUUAUGACCUGGGCUACACACGUGCUACAAUGGUUGGUACAACGAGUUGCGAGUCGGUGACGGCGAGCUAAUCUCUUAAAGCCAAUCUCAGUUCGGAUUGUAGGCUGCAACUCGCCUACAUGAAGUCGGAAUCGCUAGUAAUCGCGGAUCAGCACGCCGCGGUGAAUACGUUCCCGGGCCUUGUACACACCGCCCGUCACACCACGAGAGUUUGUAACACCCGAAGUCGGUGAGGUAACCUUUUGGAGCCAGCCGCCUAAGGUGGGACAGAUGAUUUGGGGUGAAGUCGUAACA